rnacentral:rRNA from 1 species
CCUACGGGUGGCUGCAGUGAGGAAUAUUGGUCAAUGGGCGCGAGGCUGAACCAGCCAAGUAGCGUGAAGGAAGACUGUCCUACGGGUUGUAAACCUCUUUUAUAAGGGAGUAAAGUGAGGCACGUGUGCGUUUUUGUAAGUACUUUAAGAAUAAGCAUCGGCUAACUCCGUGCCAGCAGCCGCGGUAAUACGGAGGAUCCGAGCGUUAUCCGGAUUUAUUGGGUUUAAAGGGUGCGUAGAGGGGUUAUAAAGUCAGCGUGAAAAUUUUGCGGCUCAACAGCAACUUGCCGUUGAUACUGGCGGUCUUGAGUGCACGAGAAGUAGGCGGAAUGCGUGGUGUAGCGGUGAAAUGCUUAGAUAUCACGAAGAACUCCGAUUGCGAAGGCAGCAUACU